AUUGAACGCUGGCGGCAUGCUUUACACAUGCAAGUCGAACGGCAGCGCGGGCUUCGGCCUGGCGGCGAGUGGCGAACGGGUGAGUAAUGCAUCGGAACGUGCCCAGUAGUGGGGGAUAGCCCGGCGAAAGCCGGAUUAAUACCGCAUACGACCUGAGGGUGAAAGCGGGGGACCGAAAGGCCUCGCGCUAUUGGAGCGGCCGAUGUCGGAUUAGCUAGUUGGUGGGGUAAAGGCUUACCAAGGCGACGAUCCGUAGCUGGUCUGAGAGGACGACCAGCCACACGGGACCUGGACCACGCCCCGGGCUCCUGCGGGAGGCAGCAGGGGGGAUUUUGGGACAAUGGGGGCAACCCUGCCCCAGCCUGCCCGCGGGCGAAAAGACGGCCUCGGGUUUGUAACCCGGUUUUUUGGGGGAAAAAAUCCUUUGGGCUAACACCCGGGGGGAAUGACGGUACGGGAAAAAAAAGCCCCGGCUAACUACGUG
rnacentral:rRNA from 1 species